rnacentral:rRNA from 1 species
UACGAAGGGAGCUAGCGUUGUUCGGAAUCACUGGGCGUAAAGCGCACGUAGGCGGAUGUGUCAGUCAGGGGUGAAAUCCCGGAGCUCAACUUCGGAACUGCCUUUGAUACAGCACAUCUGGAGUCCGGAAGAGGUGGGUGGAAUUCCUAGUGUAGAGGUGAAAUUCGUAGAUAUUCGGAAGAACACCAGUGGCGAAGGCGGCUCACUGGCCCGGUACUGACGCUGAGGUGCGAAAGCGUGGGGAGCAAACAGGG